GACGAACGCUGGCGGCGUGCUUAACACAUGCAAGUCGAACGAGAAUCUGUGGAAAGAGGAUUCGUCCAAUUGAAGCAGAGGACAGUGGCGGACGGGUGAGUAACGCGUGAGGAACCUGCCUUUCAGAGGGGGACAACAGUUGGAAACGACUGCUAAUACCGCAUAACAUAUAGAUGUCGCAUGGCAUUUAUAUCAAAGAUUUAUCGCUGAAAGAUGGCCUCGCGUCUGAUUAGCUAGUUGGUGAGGUAACGGCCCACCAAGGCGACGAUCAGUAGCCGGACUGAGAGGUUGAACGGCCACAUUGGGACUGAGAUACGGCCCAGACUCCUACGGGAGGCAGCAGUGGGGAAUAUUGGGCAAUGGCGCAAGCCUGACCCAGCAACGCCGCGUGAAGGAAGAAGGCUUUCGGGUGUAAACUUCUUUUGUCAGGGACGAGUAGAAGACGGUAACCU
rnacentral:rRNA from 1 species